rnacentral:rRNA from 1 species
UACGUAGGGGGCAAGCGUUGUCCGGAUUUAUUGGGCGUAAAGAGCGUGUAGGCGGCCGUACAGGUCAGCUGUGAAAACUCGAGGCUCAACCUCGAGACGUCGGUUGAAACCGUACGGCUAGAGUCCGGAAGAGGAGAGUGGAAUUCCCGGUGUAGCGGUGAAAUGCGCAGAUAUCAGGAAGAACACCCGUGGCUAAGGCGGCUCUCUAGUACGGUACUGACGCUGAGACGCGAAAGCGUGGGGGAGCGAACAGG